rnacentral:misc_RNA from 1 species
GAUGAAGAACGUAGCGAAAUGCGAUAAGUAGUGUGAAUUGCAGAAUUCAGUGAAUCAUCGAAUCUUUGAACGCACAUUGCGCCCGCUAGUAUUCUGGCGGGCAUGCCUGUUCGAGCGUCAUUUCAACCCUCAAGCCCCCUACGGGGCCUGGCGUUGGGGGACGGCACCCUCCCCCGGGUGCCGCCCCCGAAAGACAGUGGCGGCCCCGCCGUCUGCCUCCUCUGCGUAGUAGAAACACCUCGCACCGGGACGCGGCGCGGCCAUGCCGUAAAACCUCCAACUUCUGAAGGUUGACCUCGGAUCAGGUAGGAAUACCCGCUGAACUUAAGCAUAUCAAUAAGCGGAGGA